UAGAUGAAAAGCACCUUGAAAAGGGGGUUAAAUAGCACGUGAAAUUGUUGAAAGGGAAGCACUUAUGACCAGACUUG
rnacentral:rRNA from 1 species